GAUACGUCGGAUGUGAAAAUCAGGGGCUCAACCCCUGACCUGCAUCCGAUACGGUCGAGCUGGAGUUUGGUAGGGGAGACUGGAAUUCCUGGUGUAGCGGUGGAAUGCGCAGAUAUCAGGAGGAACACCGAUGGCGAAGGCAGGUCUCUGGGCCAAUACUGACACUGAGGAGCGAAAGCGUGGGGAGCGAACAGGAUUAGAUACCCUGGUAGUCCACGCCGUAAACGGUGGGCGCUAGUUGUGCGAACCUUCCACGGUUUGUGCGACGCAGCUAACGCAUUAAGCGCCCCGCCUGGGGAGUACGAUCGCAAGAUUAAAACUCAAAGGAAUUGACGGGGCCCCGCACAAGCAGCGGAGCAUGCGGCUUAAUUCGACGCAACGCGAAGAACCUUACCAAGGCUUGACAUAUACAGGAAUACGGCAGAGAUGUCGUAGCCGCAAGGUCUGUAUACAGGUGGUGCAUGGUUGUCGUCAGCUCGUGUCGUGAGAUGUUGGGUUAAGUCCCGCAACGAGCGCAACCCUCGUUCUGUGUUGCCAGCAUUUAGUUGGGGACUCACAGGAGACUGCCGGGGUUAACUCGGAGGAAGGUGGGGAUGACGUCAAAUCAUCAUGCCCCUUAUGUCUUGGGCUGCACGCAUGCUACAAUGGCUGGUACA
rnacentral:rRNA from 1 species